UACGAAGGGUGCGAGCGUUAAUCGGAAUUACUGGGCGUAAAGCGCGUGUAGGCGGUUGGUUAAGUCAGAUGUGAAGGCCCCGGGCUCAACCUGGGAACGGCAUUUGAUACUGGCUGACUAGAAUGUGGUAGAGGGAGGCGGAAUUCCCGGUGUAGCGGUGAAAUGCGUAGAGAUCGGGAAGAACACCAAUGGCGAAGGCAGCCUCCUGGGCCAACAUUGACGCUGAGACGCGAAAGCGUGGGGAGCGAACCGG
rnacentral:rRNA from 1 species